ACCGUAAAAAGAUUGAUUUUAAUUUUAAGUUUAAAUAGACCGACUCAGUCUUGAUCCCUUAUUCUGCUUACUUUACAUACCGAUAUCUAGGCGAAUUAGCCAGACAUGCUAAAUAAACAAGAAUACAUAUCAUGCAUAAACAGACUCAUUCCAGGCAGACAAUAUAAAUAAAUAAUAAAACAAAACAUUAAAUAAUGAUUAAAGAACCUGAAUGCGUAAUACAAUAGUCUUGAACACUCCACCACAAGCCGGUAGGAUUUGUUCUUGGAUUCUUCAAUUAAUCAAUAAAUUAAACCAAGGAAAUAAAACUAGAAUCUAACGUAAGGUUAGAUCCGAUAAAAAGUUGCACAAUAGUUUCCGGUGUAAAACUAUUAUGCGAAAAAUAUCUAAAUGCUAAAAAGGAAAGGUAAAUUGCAAAGGAAAAAAAG
rnacentral:lncRNA from 1 species